CACGGAGGGGGCCCCAGCCUCACCCUGGAGGCUCAGGGACACUUUCAGAGGAGGUGUCUACAAAAGAACCAGUUGAAUAAAUGACUAUGCAAUCGCUGUGACCCCUGGAAAGAAGCCCUAGGUGCCUUGAUGUUAACAUGGAAGGACAAAUGCAGUCCUAUAUUUCAAAGUCAUCAGGGAGAUCUGAUUAAUUUUGGAAAUGAACAACAAGAAGAUUCAUCACAAACUUUCAGGAUCUCUUAGACACCACUCAUAAUCCAGUGAGCUCAGCAGGUUUUAGAGUGUUGUGACCACGGUGAUAGAAUCUGAAGGGCAGAGAGCGAAUGCCUCUGUCUUGCCUCAGAAGCCCCUUACAUCUCUUGCUUGUGAUGAGAAAGCAAUGUUCACAUGGAACUUCCUUGUGGCUUUACCUUAGCCACAAGAGUUACCUUAGAGGAAACUCCAGUGGAAGAUGGAUCAUGAAGACUCCCUGGCAGAAAAAUCUUCAAUGGUUCUAUCUCCAUAUACCACUCUACUCACCAUUUCCUGGCCUGGCAGGAAGAACCUCGUCAUGUAAGCGAUGGUAGAAAUCACAUAGCACAGAUUUCCUG